GGUUUGGCGUGAAUGGAUAUGUUGUAUGGCAACGACAAUGGAUUGGGGUCGGCGGUGGUGUCGUUGUCAAAGGGUGGUGUCGUUGGAGUGUUGUUGGCGUGUGUUGUCGUGCUGAUGAUGAAAGUUGCACGACAAUGUGAGGGAAGUAGGCAAGUUUAGAUUGGGAAAAAAAAUAAAGAAAAAGAAAUCUAAAUCUUUCAUUUAAAAAAUAAUGGAUCUAAUGGUUGUAUUCUCCUUUAUUCCCACUACGGCAAAACAAGCAGGUUUUCCAACCUAAACGUUUUGGACCAUGAUUAUAGGGAGGCACAAAAAUUCUUAAUGAGUUAUUGUUAGUUUGUCUAUUGGCGAUUUUAGUCCUUUUAGUCUUAAUUUCUCAAUUUAACUCAUGCUUCUCAAGUCAAUGAAAUAUGGUUCAAUAACAAAUAUUAGUUCUCUAGAUAUUGAGACUUGUGAUCAAUAAAAUUGUGAAAUGAUAAAAGUAAAACAUGCUAUAAAAAAAAAUAUUCAAGAGUUUCCACGAUUCCUUUUUAGUUAAUUUUUGUUGUUAAAUCAACGUGUUCUUUGGUUCAUUUCUAAAUUAUGUUAACUAAUUUGUUAUUUUCAUUUCUAAAUUACUUUGUUAUUUGACCUGGUAUCUCCUAGAACCUGUGCUACCAAGUGCCUACACAAAGGUUGCUCCAUUUGUUCUUCAAUUGAUCCAAGAAGGAGUGGCACUAAACACUACUGGUAGUGUGCAAAAGUCCAAUAAAUGAGGUUCUGAAUUUGAGUUUUCAGGUAGUGCCACAAAGAAAGCAAUCUUAUCUUGGGCUGUCUUGGAAUUGAACAUGGAGAUGGAGAACUUGACAAGAAGUUAUUCCAUCUAGACAAAUCCAGCUCCUGAAUAACACCACCACUACUAUUUUUGCCACUGAUAUCAACAACAAAAGGUGGCAAUUGACCAGAAAGACAGUUAUAGCUCAAUUCAAGAACCAGCAAGUGAUUCACCAAUGACAAAAAGUGGUGUUGCAGAGUACCAAACAAUCUAUUAUGGGAGAGAUUAAGCUGACAGACAGAACAGAGGUUUGUGAGAGAGGGGGAGAUGAAGCCAGCGAGACCUCUAGAUGGUAGAAACAAGGUUGGAGUAUGAGCAAAAUCGGGAUAUGAAUUCACGAAUUCAAGAAUUGGAAGCUUCUCUUGGUUCUUUAGAUAAAGAUUUAAAACAUGGACAUCACAGAGAGGCUGCAGCGAAGUUAGCAGCUGAGAAUGCUACGGAAUAGAUUAAUCAAUUUAAGGAAGAAGCUAAAGAGUGGAAAUCAAAGUCAGAAGAUUGUGAAAAGGAAAUCCAAGAUUGGAAGAAGAAAGCUUCUACAGCCACAUCAUACAUAUCGAAACUUAAUCAUGUGAUACACUCUAAGUAAAAGAUAGGCAAGAGUCAGAAAUGGAUCAAAUUAAGGAAUAGCUUAAAGCAACAAAUUGAUGGCUUCAUAUAUGAGAUUGAAAGAACAACACCAAAUUUGAUGGCAUUGGACCAAUAUGAACCUCUGCUAGAAAAAGAAAGAGUUGUAACUGAAGACUUUGAAGCUGUCAGCAAACAGGAGAGGGAAAAAAGACACAGAUUCAAUGAGGUUAAGCACAAAAGAAAGAGUUUUAUCUGCCUCAGGCAGCCACACUGUACAGCAGACAACAGGAAUUGAAAGUCAAUUAAACAUUAUUUGAAGACAAGGUCCGUGAGGCAGCAGAAGUUAAUUUUGUCUCUCUUCCUGUCUUUCGUGGGUCUCCAAAUUAAACUAAAUUAUAUACACCUUUUUGGUUUAUAGGACAGCAGCCCUUUAUAACUAUAUUUCACUCUGAUUUCCCUCGAGCUGUUCAAGACGAAUGCUUAAUACAUGUUGAUUAAAGACAAAAUAACUCAAUAUUUAUAUUACAAGUACUCGGGCAAACAUGCUACAACCACCCUCCUACUUUAAUAUGC